rnacentral:rRNA from 1 species
AUUGAACGCUGGCGGCAUGCUUUACACAUGCAAGUCGAACGGUAACAGGCCGCAAGGUGCUGACGAGUGGCGAACGGGUGAGUAAUGCAUCGGAACGUGCCCAGUCGUGGGGGAUAACUACUCGAAAGAGUAGCUAAUACCGCAUACGAUCUAUGGAUGAAAGCGGGGGACCGUAAGGCCUCGCGCGAUUGGAGCGGCCGAUGUCAGAUUAGGUAGUUGGUGGGGUAAAGGCUCACCAAGCCAACGAUCUGUAGCUGGUCUGAGAGGACGACCAGCCACACUGGGACUGAGACACGGCCCAGACUCCUACGGGAGGCAGCAGUGGGGAAUUUUGGACAAUGGGCGCAAGCCUGAUCCAGCAAUGCCGCGUGCAGGAAGAAGGCCUUCGGGUUGUAAACUGCUUUUGUACGGAACGAAACGGCUCUGGUCAAUACCCGGGGCUAAUGACGGUACCGUAAGAAUAAGCACCGGCUAACUACGUG